ACAGUAUUUGAGACUUGAGGCAAGGCAGGGAAGUCCUCAGAGCCACAAGCUUUGGAAUUCACCUACUAGCACAGUCACAGAAGCACUGUGAGAAGUGGAAAGCUUCCAAAAACUAUUUCAGAGAGCUUUCAGAACAAAAAUGGAGUGCUCUCAGAUGUGUUACAAAGUGAAAUGAACGUAAAAUAUACAGAGCCAUUACAGAAGUCCAUAGCAGCACAAAAGGCAACCUCUAAACAAUGCCAAUGCUGGUGCUUUAUUUGGCUGCCAUAAGCACUGGUAACCUCAGAAGAAAAACCACAAAGUCAGUUUUAAAAUGCUGAUGAACAACUUCCUGCUAAUCAAGUUAAGAAGUGUGAGAUUUCUGCAGAGCAAAUUUGAGCUCCGCUGCUGAGCACAAGAGUGCAACUCCAGUGAAGUCAGAAAAAUGAACACCAAGAAAGCACACAGGAGAGUGGAAAGAAGCCUGCUUGGAAAAAACCUCAAGAUCUGCAUAUAAUGUAAAACUACAGAAUAACUUGAUUCACAGAUGGGUUGGUUUUUUUUUUUUGGUCAAUCUACACUUUACUUUUCUGGGACCUUCACCACUAUCAUAGCAUUUAAAUGAAAAUUGGGUGGAAAAAUAAUUUUGUUAACAGUUUAGGGUGUGGGCGUUGACUUUUUGGAUUUUCCUAGUUUAGUCUACUUCCCAUUCUUUCUUGUCGCAUUAAGUGAACCAGACCCCUGCUUAGUUGGCACAGGGGUAGGACAAAAGACAAAGUACUCUGGAAGUCUUUUCCAAAGUCACAUACUGGGACUCAUAAGGUCCCAAUAACAAAUGUUAUUGUUUCAUUUGAUAAAUUUUCAGUUUACUAGCUUAGGUGUAGUAUGAGUUAAGCAUUUAGUACUGAGUCUUCAAAUGGAUGGGGAGAGCACUAAACAGAAACAAAAACAGUGAGUAUGCUAACAAUGACACGAUGCAGACUGCUCUAAUGCAACACUCAAUCCUUCUCAUGGUCCUGUUUAAUUUGCUAGUCUAAACAUGAACAUUAACGGAUGCCCUAAACCCUUACUACUUGUGCCAGAGGAUAAAAAGGAGAUAAAACUAAGCAGACAUCUCCCUAAUGUUUAGACUCACAGAAAUGUGCAGAUAUCCAAAUUUGGUUCAUCUCAACUUAUUCCUCCAACCCCUCCCAAAUAAGAGAAAUGAUGUUUUUAAUGGUGCUGCAUGAAGUGCUUCCCUUUUACCAAAGGGCUAGAAAAAUGACACGAGCCACAUGAAAGAAGCAACCAACACUAGACUUUUUUUCCUGAGGCCAUAUAUUAACACUCAUGCAAACCUAUCUUUUCACCAAGUCAACAAAACCAAUAUUAUAAGACAUUAGAGCAAAAUAAUUGCAUUAAAAUAAUGGGAUUUCACUAAAGAAUGUAAUAGCCUAUCUUCUGAUGUCAUUCAAGUAAAGAAUAUGCUUCCAUCCCUUCACACCAUGAAAAUAAGAUAAACUUUUCAGACACAGUGAUGAGGAAACGAGGAUAAUCUCGAGACUGUUUCAAAGUGCCUAAACCCAUAUAUCUAAUUUCUGAUCAGGCAUAAUCUGAAACUGCUUGACAUUGGCAUCGCUAUUUUUAUAUUGUAAUUAGAAAAUAUCCAAGACAAAACCUUCCAAUGCAAAAUAUACUUCUGAAUAAUAGAUGGGAACAACUAUGUUCUUUAAAGAAGUCUAUAUGU
rnacentral:lncRNA from 7 species